rnacentral:sRNA from 1 species
CGGCCCCUAAAACGAUCUCUUCAAGAUAUCUCGAGAACGGUACAUAAUUUCUACAUACUUGUUGAACAAAAUGUGUUUGAAAUGACAAGAGCUUCCUUUUCACACCAAGAAAAAGGGGCUGGCCCUUCAAAUGAGAGGCCGAUAGAGUUCUAAAGUCUUUUAAUCAUAACUUUUAAUUGUGAAAUAUUUUGUAAUACAUUACAGAAGCAAUUAUGUUAAUCGUAACGUUAUGUACCUAUACAUGAAAAUUGUUUACUCCUAUGUUACUUAAUUAGGGAUUUUAAGGGACCAGAAGUCCAACAUUUUGAUCUGCAAUAUCUCAAAAUUAAAAAAAAAUAUUGAAAAGCAGUAUUCAACAAUAUGUAACCAUAACUUUUUUUGCUAACCACUUCCUAAAGGGAGUUACCAAGGUCGGCCCCUAAAAUGAUCUUCUCCAGAUAUCUCUUAAACGGUGCAUACUUUCUAAACACUUGUUGAACAAAAUGUGUGUAAAAUGAGAAUAGCUUUCUUUUCACAUCAAAAAAGGGGCUGGCCCUUCAAUUAGGGGCCGAUAAGUCUAAAAAGUCUUUUAACCAUAACUUUUAAUUGUGAAAUAUUUUGUAAUACAUUAUAGAAGCAAUUAUGUUAAUCGAAAUGUUAUGUACCUAUACAUGAAAAUUGUUUACUCCUAUGUUAUGUAAUAAGGGAUUUUAAGGGGUUAAAAGUCCGAACUUAUUAUCAACGUCCCAAAAU